AAAAUGGUUUCGAUAAUUAAGAACAUCUUUUUAAAGCUAUGAAAAAUCAUAAUCGUAAGUCUCGCGCGUCGUAAGGGAUCAUAGUAAAGAAACAAAAUGACAGUCCUUUACCAACAGAACCAACAACAAUAAAGUAGUUAUAUAUUACACUGAUGUAACUUCCUCAGCACUCAAGUGACUACUGAAACACCCAAGUGAUAAAUAAAACGAUAAAGGCCUUGCAAACGCAUAUACGUGACAACUUAUGAAUGCACAGUAUCGCUUUAGUUGUUCGUUUAGUUCACGUGGGAAAACUUUAAAUAACGUAGGAAACAUGCUGAUCGGGCGCAGAUCUUUCAGUUCCUUUGGUGAAUUAAUUUUGGGUACUCCAAAACUCGGGAAACGUGGAAGUUUCAAUACAAACGUUUACUAAAUGUGUUAGUGCUGGUACAAUUCUUGUAAGACAACAAGCAGCAUCUCAAUACCACCAUUCUACCACCUUCGAUUCUAUAGA